rnacentral:lncRNA from 1 species
AGAUUAUCCAUCUGCACCUAGAAACUAAGCCAAAAAACAUAUUCUCUAUAAGCCACGUCAAACUACAUGCAUUCAAAACCCUUGAAAGAACAAAUUUCUCAGCCAUAAUUUAUCCAAGUACAUGACCACCAACAUGUUGGGACUGCCCUACAUUUUCUUAAAGUAUUAUUUUUGUUCAACAUGUAGUAUUCGAAACAAACUGAUCCGACUAAUCCAGAUUUGCGCAACACACUUGCUCGCUCUUGAACUCUUCGGCAAGUUCAGCCACCACCUCCGAGUCUGAGCUCUGCUCGAGCGUAGUUAACCAGCUUCGCGACUUUGCUUAGCUUCCAGCGUCACAAAGGGAUAACCUUUUACUAUUUAGGCACCCUUGAAGGAGGGGUCCCACUGACUUCUUCCCCGAAGGUCAAGUUGUAGUUCCUGUCCCUGGGAGAAGUGAGGGGAUAAAAUGCUCCCUACCGAAAGGUUCUCCAUUUCAAAGGCUCGAAACCGAGAUUGCGAGUUAAGUGCGGAGGGAUCCCAACCAUCUCGCCACACGCCUCGGUGGUGGGGCUAUCACACCUUACUUGUUGCUAAGUUGUAAAUCGUGUGCUGUGUGUAUCAAGUAGUACGUGAAUAUCUGGAUCUGCAGAAUAAUUUGCCGACAAGGGGCAUGUACAUAUGAAUUAUCGCCAUUAUUGAUACCAAAUGAGUUAAAAUUUGUUAUCUGUUCAUACUCACAUUUGAUUGUAAAUGUUGUAGAUAUGGUGAACCUUGUGUGGCCAAUAAUCCAUAUGGGCCAAAUUGACAAAGCAACAUUUAAUUGACUUGUUCUUCUGUUUUAUAACUUGUGAUGGCUAAAGCCUGAGCUAAUGUGGGGCAACUGCAUUGAUAUGAA